AGUGGGAUAGCUGGGCCAAAUGGUGGUUUCAUUCCAUGUUUUCAAGGAAUCUCCAUACUGCUUUCCAUAUUGGCUGCACCAAUUUGCAGUCCCACUAGCAAU
rnacentral:pre_miRNA from 1 species